CAGGGGUUAGUUUAUUAAAAAUAUUGGUUUUGGAGACCAAUGAUAGAAAGUUUCUAUUCCUGA
rnacentral:tRNA from 1 species